rnacentral:rRNA from 1 species
UACGUAGGGUGCAAGCGUUAAUCGGAAUUACUGGGCGUAAAGCGUGCGCAGGCGGUGCUGUAAGACAGGCGUGAAAUCCCCGGGCUUAACCUGGGAAUGGCGCUUGUGACUGCAGUGCUGGAGUGCGGCAGAGGGGGAUGGAAUUCCGCGUGUAGCAGUGAAAUGCGUAGAUAUGCGGAGGAACACCAAUGGCGAAGGCGGCUCACUGGCUCGACACUGACGCUGAGGUGCGAAAGCGUGGGGAGCAAACAGG